AAUCAAGAUUUGUUCUUCUAUGAUCAUGCUUGAGUAGUUCUAUUGUUGGGUUUAGGGAUUUGGAUGAAUUAGUAGAUCGAAAACCCUGUUAGGAUA
rnacentral:sRNA from 1 species